rnacentral:lncRNA from 1 species
GGGAGUCUGUUAUUAACCAACUAACUUUUUUUGUUAGUUGUUAUUCUAACAAGAUGUGAUUCUACACCAUCAUUCUACACCAUUCUACACCAUCAUUCUACACCAUUCUGGAUAAAUUAUUCUACACCACUCCUCAUAACCCUAAAAUAUUUCAACGAUAUGAGGGUUACCCCCAACGAUAUGAGGCAACUUAGAUAAUUCGUUCCUAAAUAUUUAGAACAAUCAGUCUUUCUAUUCUCAGGAAUAUAGAAGCAACCUAAUUCAGCUAACUCUUCCUCAAUCUCUUAAGACUGAUUUUUUUUUUUAACCUUUUUUAUACCAUCUUUCUUUUUUCCGGAUGGCUGUUGCUCUUCAUUUUCUUCAACAUCUUUAAAAUUCAACAAUCCCAUCAUUCCAUAAUCUUCAGUCGGAUUAAAUAAAAAAUUAAAAUUCGGAGGAGUUUUCAGCAAAUUUCUGAUAUUUGAACAGAAUCAUAGAGCUUUUUUCGAAAAGUCUGUUAAUUCAAUCUCAUUCAAAAGAUUGUAGAAAACUUCUGUUGUUCGCAAUCCAAUAAUGUCAUUCAAACAUUUCGAUUCAAGUGUGACUGCAUAAGCCUUCAACAAGUCCGUACAGUUUUUAAAAUAUUCAUUCCGUUGCUCAUGAUCCGUGUAGUCAUUGUCGCUAAUCAGGUACUUGUAGUAAGGUUCUUGGUUAUUUUUCUUGUUGAUAAUAGACGACGAUUCUUUAAUUAUAGUUGCAGCUUCGCCUACAUAGAAAUUCUUCACAAACUGUAAAUACCAGGUUAGGGUUAAGGUUUAGGGUUGGGAUUAGGGUUAGGGUUUAAGGUUGAGGAUCGCCGGCGGUGAUGAUAAUGGUUGGUAGGAUUUUAGUGCAGCUUGUGUUAACUUUAUUAAUGCUUCAAAUGAUUUUUUUCUGCAAUUUAAUUUCGACAAUCAUUUUCAUCAAUUUUGAGGUUAUCUUUGUCGUUUCCUUCAUCUUUGCAUCCACGUCGUUCUUCAUCAGUUUUGGUAUGUUGUCUAACAAAUAUUGUAUAUCUCUUUUGAAAAAUAUCGAUUCCUUUGAGAUCGAAGUCCAGCAAAUCAUUCACCGACAAAUGUCUGUAGUACGUCGUUAUGAACUUCUGAAAGUCCGUAGAUAGAAAUAAUUAAAAUAAGGCUUCAAGAUCGAUAAUGUCACUACAGAAAUUAAAAUGGUCUUCAUAUUGGCGGAAUUUCCGCCAAUAUAAAGAUAGUUUCAAUAAAAGGUUUACCUGAUCAUCGACAUUAUCAUCAUCCAUUUUUUCUUCCAAUGUUUGAAUGAUAUAUAAAAGCAAAUCGAUGCAAUUAUUGUAAUAUUUUCCCAAUAUUUCAGGGUAUGUGAUAUCUUCUUGAAUCGAUAAGAAUUUACAGUACGGAGGGGAGGGUUCAUGGGUCCUACGAGAACGGUAAUAACUCAAUUUGUUAGUCAUAUUUUGGAUUUUGACGACCGAAAGAUUUUUUUUACAUUGCAAAAUUCUUACACACAAGUUGAUCAUAUAGUCCUUCGAUCAUACGAAAAACCCGGUAUGCUACUCUUGCUGAAGCUAAAGCAAGAUCCAAAACCUUAUCUUUAUCAUCCUCUUCUUUAAUUCUUACAACAUAUUGGAAGCACACCUCACUAAAGAACCUUUGCAUAAAUCCACAGGAAGAGUAUUCAUUUUUUUUAUCAAAACUGCCAUGCUUUUGGUUUCAACUUUGAACAUUUGGCAAGCAUCGACUUCGAAUAAUGACGAGGAGAACACGUCGGCGAAAUACUCAUCUGGAAAGGGUAAUGAAUCGAUCCUUCUGUAACACUCGUUAAUCAAUUUCCCCAAACACAUCUUCACAUACUCCACUGCAGCUUCCCCAGAUUCAACCAUUGUUGCUUCCUCAUCAAGAACUUGCUUGUACAAAUCCCAACAAGGUUCCAUUGGCCGGGUUGGCCAUUCCUAUUGUGCUCUCAAAAAUCCAGAUAGCUAGAGAAUUUUCAAGUACAUCUUGUUUGUCUAUCUUGCUAUUGUAAUAGAGUGAUUCGGCGAAGUAACGGUACUCCAAAGAUUGUGGAUAUAUGUGUAUUGCCCAGGUUGCAUGUUUAACUGCCUGGUUGUAGUCGGAUCGUUCUUUAUGAUAAGCAUUAAUUGCAUGUAGACGGUGGAGAAUAUGACAUCCCUCAUGAUCGACGAUUGCUUUGCGUGAGAGUUUUAGGGCUUUAGCUGCUCCAUAUUUCAUAUACCUUUCUACAAUCCUAUUAACCAGAUUGAUAGUUUCUUUCUCCAUGGAUGGAUGGAUGGAUGGCUUCCUCUAAUCCGUCCUUCUAUUAUCU